rnacentral:rRNA from 1 species
AAAUAGAACUUUGCGGAGAGAGUUAACAGGGCGUGAAACCGUUAAUUGGCAAACGAAUCGGAGCCACGAAGUCGUUUCGCUGAUUAGUUGGGCCAAGUUCAGUCCAAGAUCGCAAGAUUUUGGGUGUAUUCUUGUAGUCCAACCUAACAUUGUAAACGUACACUGCAACCAGUUAGACGAUUGGCGAUGGGCCCAGCUGGUUGGGGAGCAAUCCCCGGCUAGCGCAGCUAUUGUCCGUUUGAGCCAGCAGCAGCUUGGUGCGCCUCGGCGUAUUCGAGUUGUUGGGCGCAGGCGGGAGAACUAUCGCCAAACACUGACUGGCAAAAUAAAAAUCACUCGCAGAGUGUUUGAAUAGAACGCGGCCGUCCACAUGGGUGUCCACAUGCUUGACCGUUUGGCUUAAGCUCAGCAUUUUUAAAUUCAAACUUGCUUGCUACCAGUGGGGCAACUCCUGGUGCUUGUAUUGCUUUGUCUAAUUGGGUGUUGACUUGGUUAGGCGUCGUUCGAGCAUGCAACGAUCGGGCGCCUAUGUGAGGUGGUUCGCAAUCAUUGGCAGUGAGUAGGUCGGCUUUCCGAACGA